rnacentral:lncRNA from 1 species
GGUGAAAACACCAUUUAUCUUCCAUGGAGCUGCCAUUCACCAACCUGGAGGUGGCGUUCAUUUUACUGGCUUUCCUCAUCUUUUCCUUGUUUACUCUGGCUUCCAUCUACACCAACCCGAAUGAGAGGAAUGAAGAUGAGGACCUCCACCUAAAGGAAAAGAGAAGGAAAAGAAAAGAGUUUAAAAAGAAAAAAUGCUCAGAGGAAGAACACAGAAUUGAAACAAUGUAACCAUGACCCCGGCCACCUGUGAAUGCACAGAGGCUCCCCUCAGAAUGCCUGCUGGGAUUGCUCAAGGCCCCCAAGACCAAGGACAUUAAAACAGUCUUCAGAUCAUAAUCACUAGGACUCAACACGGGGAACCAGGCUUCAUACUUUCUUUUUGACAUCCUUGUUCCAAGAUAUUUAUAAUGCCGAUUAUGAGCACUUGCUGUAAUAAAAAGGAAUACAGUUGAAGUAAAAUCUUUCAAGAAAGAGAAAAUAUAUGUAUUAUAAUCUAACUAGAGACAAUAACAGUCUCAGUGGUAGAGUACUUGUCCAGCAUGCUUAAGACUGAGUUUGAUCUCCAGCUCUGACCAAAAAUAAAAAGGAGGGGGUACAUAAAUAAAUAAAUAGAUGGGAUGC